rnacentral:rRNA from 1 species
UACGUAGGGGCCUAGCGUUGUCCGGAAUUAUUGGGCGUAAAGAGCUCGUAGGCGGUUCGGCAAGUCGGAUGUGAAAUCUCCACGCUUAACGUGGAGGGGCCAUUCGAAACUGCUGUGACUCGAGUCCGGUAGGGGAGUGUGGAGUUCCCGGUGUAGCGGUGAAAUGCGCAGAUAUCGGGAGGAACACCAGUGGCGAAGGCGGGUCUCUGGACAGUUCCUGACGCUGAGGCACGAAGGCCAGGGGAGCAAACGGG